GUCCAGACAGCAGCUCUCAGCCUGCAGAGACAGCCUACAGCUCAGGGAAGUGAGGGAUGGGGUAAAGGCUGCAGGGAGACAUGGGGACACUGAGACACUAGGGGACACUGUGAGACAUGGGGACACAGGGAGACCUCUGGGGAUGCUGAGACACUUGAGGACACUUGGAGACACGGGGACACAGACACACAUAGGGACACUGAGACAUGGGGACACAGACACACAU